rnacentral:rRNA from 1 species
CAGUAGCCGCGGGAAUACGUAGGGUGCAAGCGUUAAUCGGAAUUACUGGGCGUAAAGCGUGCGCAGGCGGUUAGAUAAGCCAGAUGUGAAAUCCCCGAGCUCAACUUGGGAACUGCGUUUGGAACUGUUUAACUAGAGUGCGUCAGAGGGGGGUGGAAUUCCGCGUGUAGCAGUUAAAUGCGUAGAGAUGCGGAGGAACACCGAUGGCGAAGGCAGCCCCCUGGGAUGACACCGACGCUCAUGCCCGAAAGCGUGGGGAGCAAACAGGAUUAGAUACCCCCGUAGUCCCUGUCUCUUAUAC